AGACUGGGUGGGGGUCUUCCUGCUUUUGUGUUUCUCCUGUGCUGGAUGCUUCCUGCCUUUAAACAUCAGACCCCAGGUUCUUUGGCCUUUGCACUCUUUGAACUUACACCAGCGGUUUGCAAGGGGAUCUCGGGCCUUUGGCCACAGACUGAAGGCUGCACUGACCGUUUUCCUACUUUUAAGGUUUUGGGACUUGGACUGAGCCGCUGCUGGCUUCCUUGCUCUUCAGCUUGCAGACAAACUGUAGUGGGACUUCACCUUGUGAUCAUGCUGCUGACUAACUUAGUGAACCAAAUGGAUUAAAAUGGUGCAAGAGAAAAGGGCAUUUUUACACAAAAGGAAGCAUUUUCUGUGUUCCAGUUCAGCUGUUCCAAUGACAUUUGGUGGUGUUAUCAGUGUGAAUUAUACUGACGCAUCAACCAUGAUCUAGCAUUUGCAAGAUGUGUAAUUACUUUGACUUUCAAGAAAACAUCUUCUGAUCUAAGGAACUUCCCAAGAUAUCAAAGCUGGCUGGCUCAGGAAUACUCUCACAGGGAUGGCAGAAGAGCAAAUCUGGAAGUUCAAACACUCAAAUGUGUUGUUGGAUUUCUGCAUGCAUCACAUGGGCUAACAACUGGUCAAAGCAAAUCACAUGGCCAAACUAAAAAUCAAAGGCCUGGAAGACAGACAAAAUGCUAUAUUGAAGGUUACAGAAGAAUAAAGAAGUUCUGAAUAGCACAGAAGCUUUCAUAAGCCAGGGGUUACAAUGACCAGCAGUGACUCCACAAAACCAUUUACUCACAAGAGGAAAUAUGGCACGGAUUGGAUUAGAAGUGGAAAGACUAAUGCAUUUUUUGUCCAUAAGGAUUAGAAGAAAAAUGGUUCUCUCAGCUCUGCAAAUGAGCACAACAAGCAAUCCAAAAGCAUUAUUUGUGUGAAGCAGUUUGUAGAAUUUGUUCCAUUUGUCACUAGAACUAGUGUUUGAAGCUCAGCAAAAGUUGAGUUAUGGUUAAGCCCCAGGGUCAGUGGCCACAUGUUCAGAGCAGUACCUUAGGUUUAAAGCUGAUUCACAACCUGAAAAACACUCAGUGGUGUUCUCUCCCAAAUUAUCAAUCAUUAACUUGUGGUGUCUUAAAAAGAGGGUAGAAGAUUGCUUGACCAGAAAAUAAUGACAAUAAAAAGGAAAUUAUA